CACGUAGGCACCAAGCGUUAUCCGGAUUUAUUGGGCGUAAAGAGCUCGUAGGCGGUUCGGUAAGUCGGGUGUGAAAACUCUGGGCUCAACCCAGAGAGGCCACCCGAUACUGCUGUGACUAGAGUGCGGUAGGGGAGCGGGGAAUUCCUGGUGUAGCGGUGAAAUGCGCAGAUAUCAGGAGGAACACCGACGGCGAAGGCAGCACUCUGGGCCGGUACUGACGCUGAGGAGCGAAAGCAUGGGGAGCGAACAGG
rnacentral:rRNA from 1 species